rnacentral:rRNA from 1 species
AGAAUCAACGCUGGCGGCGUGCCUAACACAUGCAAGUCGAACGAGAAAGUGGAGCAAUCCAUGAGUAAAGUGGCGUACGGGUGAGUAACACGUGACUAACCUACCCUCGAGUGGGGAAUAACCUCGGGAAACCGGGGCUAAUACCGCAUAACAUCUUCGGAUCAAAUGCGUAAGCAGCUUAAGGAGGGGGUCGCGGCAGAUUAGCUAGUUGGCGGGGUAAUGGCCCACCAAGGCAGUGAUCUGUA